rnacentral:rRNA from 1 species
ACGCGGUACACCCGCAGCACGAGUAGUGGUCACUUUUAUUGAGCCUAAAGCGUUCGUAGCCGGUUUUGUAAAUCUCCAGAUAAAGCCUGAAGCUUAACUCCAGAAAGUCUGAAGAGACUGCAAGAUUUGAGAUCGGGUGAGGUUAAACGUACUUUCAGGGUAGGGGUAAAAUCCUGUAAUCCCGGAAGGACGACCAGUGGCGAAAGCGUUUAACUAGAACGAAUCUGACGGUAAGGAACGAAGGCUAGGGUAGCAAACCGGAUUAGAUACCCGGGUAGUCCUAGCUGUAAACAUUGCCCAUUUGAUGUUGCUUUUCCGUUGAGGGAAGGCAGUGUCGGAGCGAAAGUGUUAAAUGGGCCGCUUGGGAAGUAUGGUCGCAAGACUGAAACUUAAAGGAAUUGGCGGGGGAGCACCGCAACGGGAGGAAUGUGCGGUUUAAUUGGAUUCAACGCCGGAAAACUCACCGGGAACGACCUGCGCAUGAGAGUCAACCUGACGAGCUUACUCGAUAGCAGGAGAGGUGGUGCAUGGCCGUCGUCAGCUCGUACCGUANGGCGUUCACUUAAGUGUGAUAACGAGCGAGACCCACAUCUUUAAUUGCAAAUGUAUAUGAGAAUAUGCAUGCACUUU